GACGAACGCUGGCGGCGUGCUUAACACAUGCAAGUCGAACGGAAAGGCCCUGCUUUUGUGGGGUGCUCGAGUGGCGAACGGGUGAGUAACACGUGAGUAACCUGCCCUUGACUUUGGGAUAACUUCAGGAAACUGGGGCUAAUACCGGAUAGGAGCUCCUGCUGCAUGGUGGGGGUUGGAAAGUUUCGGCGGUUGGGGAUGGACUCGCGGCUUAUCAGCUUGUUGGUGGGGUAGUGGCUUACCAAGGCUUUGACGGGUAGCCGGCCUGAGAGGGUGACCGGCCAAAUUGGGACGGAGAUACGGCCCAGACUACUACGGGAGGCAGCAGUGGGGAAUAUUGCACAAUGGGCGGAAGCCUGAUGUAGCAACGCCGCGUGCGGGAUGACGGCCUUCGGGUUGUAUACCGCUUUCGCCUGUGACGAAGCGUGAGUGACGGUAAUGGGUAAAGAAGCACCGGCUAACUACGUG
rnacentral:rRNA from 1 species